CAGUCGCCACGGGAAUACGAAGGGGGCUAGCGUUGUUCGGAUUAACUGGGCGUAAAGGGCGCGUAGGCGGGUUUUUAAGUCAGAGGUGAAAUCCCAAGGCUCAACCUUGGAACUGCCUUUGAUACUGGAAGUCUUGAGUCCGGGAGAGGUGAGUGGAACUGCGAGUGUAGAGGUGAAAUUCGUAGAUAUUCGCAAGAACACCAGUGGCGAAGGCGGCUCACUGGCCCGGUACUGACGCUGAGGCGCGAAAGCGUGGGGAGCAAACAGGAUUAGAUACCCCUGUAGUCCCUGUCUCUUAUAC
rnacentral:rRNA from 1 species